rnacentral:lncRNA from 1 species
AUAAUUUGAAUCUUAUGAGAGAUUAUAAGGGAAACUGAUCUAUCUAGAUGUCAAGGAAGGCUUCCAGUAAGAAGAUCUUUGAUAUACUAUCUGGAGGAUAAGUAGGAGUCCAGAGGUGAAGAAGUGGAUGUACGAGAAACUGUACGUGCAAAGGCCCUUUGGCAGAAGGACAAGAACUGAGACCAGGCCAGUGUGACUGAAGAGCAGAGCAGACAGGGAAGAAGGCCAGGUGAAAAUGGGGGAGGGACUGAAUCAUGCCAGACCUUGCAGGCCAUGUGAAGGACUUUGGUCUUUCUCUGAAGAGUGAUGAGAACCCAUUCAAAUGGUUUCUUCAGAUCUGGUGGGGUUUGAUUAGAGGUGGAGACAUAAUCAGAUUUGUAUUUUGAGAAGAUCCUUUUGCCUUCUACGUGGAGAACCAAUAGGAGGAGGCUGGAGCAGAUAGGAGCUGCCUGAUGCUGCUGCAGCAGUCUAGGUGAGAGAUGAUGGUAGCUUGGUCUAGGCAGGGAGAGGAAGAUGGAAAGGGGAGUGGAGCAUUUGAGAAAUGUUUAGGAAGUCAAAUAAAUAGAAUUUGGGUGGAUUGGAUAUGGGACAGUGAUGCAAGAUAAUAGUGUGCCAAGAAAGACUCCUAGGUUUCAAGUUUGCACACCUAUAUGGGGGUGACAGUUUGGGGCUAGGGGUCACUGGUACAGGAAGCACCAGAAGAGGAUCAGGUUUGGGGACGAGUUUAAAGUCAUCCAUUUUGGAGUUGAAGAGUUUGCGGUACAUUUGAGAUAUCUGAGUUGAGUUAGAGAUAUAAUGAUUGGAGCUCAGAAAAGACUGGGCUGAAGGCUUUUCAUUAAGUUAUUACGAGAGUUUUGGCCAUGGGUGCAAUCCUAGGGAGAGAGUGUGGAGUGAAAAUUGCAGAGGGGUGUGAGAUACUCUUAACAUCGAAUAUGAUACUGGGCCAGUUCAAAGCUCUGUACUGUUAUGUUGAUGGCUAAAUGAAAUUGCAUAUGCCCAGUUCCUGGCACACAGUAGGCACUCAGUAAAUAUUAAAUAUGUCUCCUUUUUCUCCUUUGUUUCUCUGCUCCCUUUAUUCUAUUUCUCUCUCUUUUCUGGCUCUAUGUAUUACAGCCAGAGACUCAAGCUGACUUCUUUCAACUUCCCCAGGGUACCUAGUGCACAAACCUGGCAUACAUCGCUGUCCUCCAAGAUCCAGCCUGGGAGAGCCUACCUCUUGAGAGCUGUCUCAAGCUGAAGGUACCAACAUGAUGCCAUUGAACAUGGGACGUGAUGUGCAUAAUCAGCUCUUGGGAACCUUCAGGUGUGGGCUCCAGCAUCUCACUGGACCGCUGGGUUCCUAGUAGAGUGGAGGAAGUGUUCACUUAGCCACAACUUUGCCUCACCCUGGAGGCCAACUGAGGCAUGUUAGUAUACCCUCUCCCUGUAGUUCUGGAGUGAGGACAUUGGAAAGCUAAACAGUGGUGCUUGAUUCAAGGUGCUUGAUCUAAUUUCUGUGGCCUUUGUCUGAAGAGGGAGGUAUAAGAAUGUGUCAACCUGGAAUUCCCAGACUGGCUGAUUGGGUCACAUUUGGAAAGCUGCUGUGUGCACAUCUGAUUAUCCUGCACCUAGGACUAUGAUUCAUUUCUUCUUUCUCAGAACGUGCAUCAGUUUGUUAUAUUGAUUAGCCUGAUUGUCUGAAUAGUGUCUUUCUGUGUCAAAUCUAUGAAAGUUUGAACCCUAUAUGCUUUUGCUGAAUACUGUAUUUCCAAUACCUAGUAAUUAUACCUAGACUGACA